rnacentral:rRNA from 1 species
AGUGAACGCUGGCGGUAGGCCUAACACAUGCAAGUCGAACGGCAGCACAGUAAGAGCUUGCUCUUACGGGUGGCGAGUGGCGGACGGGUGAGGAAUACAUCGGAAUCUACUUUUUCGUGGGGGAUAACGUAGGGAAACUUACGCUAAUACCGCAUACGACCUACGGGUGAAAGCAGGGGAUCUUCGGACCUUGCGCGAUUGAAUGAGCCGAUGUCGGAUUAGCUAGUUGGCGGGGUAAAGGCCCACCAAGGCGACGAUCCGUAGCUGGUCUGAGAGGAUGAUCAGCCGCACUGGAACUGAGACACGGUCCAGACUCCUACGGGAGGCAGCAGUGGGGAAUAUUGGACAAUGGGCGCAAGCCUGAUCCAGCCAUCCCGCGUGGGUGAAGAAGGCCUUCGGGUUGUAAAGCCCUUUUGUUGGUAAAGAAAAGCAGCAGGUUGAUACCCCGCUGUUCUGACGGUACCCAAUGAAUAAGCACCGGCUAACUUCGUG